rnacentral:rRNA from 1 species
ACACGUGGAUAACCUACCUAUGAGACUGGGAUAACUUCGGGAAACCGGAGCUAAUACCGGAUAAUAUUUUGAACCGCAUGGUUCAAAAGUGAAAGACGGUCUUGCUGUCACUUAUAGAUGGAUCCGCGCUGCAUUAGCUAGUUGGUAAGGUAACGGCUUACCAAGGCAACGAUGCAUAGCCGACCUGAGAGGGUGAUCGGCCACACUGGAACUGAGACACGGUCCAG